GCAUGGUUGUCGUCAGCUCGUGUCGUGAGAUGUUGGGUUAAGUCCCGCAACGAGCGCAACCCUUAUUGUUAGUUGCCAUCAUUUAGUUGGGCACUCUAGCGAGACUGCCGGUGACAAACCGGAGGAAGGUGGGGAUGACGUCAAAUCAUCAUGCCCCUUAUGACCUGGGCUACACACGUGCUACAAUGGGAAGUACAACGAGUCGCUAGACCGCGAGGUCAUGCAAAUCUCUUAAAGCUUCUCUCAGUUCGGAUUGCAGGCUGCAACUCGCCUGCAUGAAGCCGGAAUCGCUAGUAAUCGCGGAUCAGCACGCCGCGGUGAAUACGUUCCCGGGCCUUGUACACACCGCCCGUCACACCACGAGAGUUUGUAACACCCGAAGUCGGUGAGGUAACCUUUUUGGAGCCAGCCGCCUAAGGUGGGAUAGAUGAUUGGGGUGAAGUCGUAACAAGGUAGCCGUAUCGGAAGGUGCGGCUGGAUCACCUCCUUUCUAAGGAA
rnacentral:rRNA from 1 species